GAUUCCACACCGACUGAUAAAAAUGGUUCACAUCUAGGUCCAUUAACUGCCGUGCAGAUGUUUUGCCUUCGUAGCCUUAAAAUCUGUUGUAGAGAAAGCUGCAAUAAAAUGCUCUGUUGUGAUAAAUUGCAACUUCAACAACAGAAAGCGUGCGGCCUUUACCCGGUGCUCUGCUGAACACAGAAAGGUGAGGUCAGUUCCAGGGAGCGCAAGCAUCCUAACCUUACCCAUAAAAGCUCUCUUUUCCUAGCAAAACAAGCUCUAGACAGCAAAGUAAGCAGCUUCCUAACAGCAAAGGAUCACGGCACCAAGACCCCUGUCCCCAGCUGCCCUGUGCCCGGGACAGCAAGGCCGCAGGAGGGGAGCUCUGGGCCCAGGGCCUGGCAGGCCCUGCCGGCCAUCCUGCACCUGGCAGGCCAAUCAAGUGUUUUGUCUGACAAAAAAAAACAGUUAUUUUUUACCAUAAAAAGAAAAUAAAUCAUUUAAUUCAUUGCUGGUUUUGCACGGUCUUAUUCUGGUGUUCUUCAAUGCCUGACCUGCCCCUCAGCCAUACCUGUCUGUGGAGCUGAGAGAAGAAAAAAACUCUGAGAAAUUUAAAAUUGAUUUUUCUUUCAGUGCUUCCCAGGGGUAGAGGUUUAUCAGACUCAAGCUUUGCGUUUAUUUCGUGGAAAAAUAAAACCGUAUUUCAUACGAAUAUUUUUAUAUGGGCAGCUGUGACAGUGCUUCACCCCCAAACACCAUCGGCAGCUCCUGUAACCAGUCUCCUUGUUUUCCCUUCGCAUUCCGCUUGUGUCACUAUGUCAGAGUGUUGCACAAAUGCCUGUUAUUUACUAUCAGUUAUAGCCGUGUAUUAUGCUACAGCAAACUAACACGUGUCAAGCAAAGCUGCCUCCUGGUUGACGAAGCACCAUAUUUUCUGUCAGGCCAGACAGCACAGUAGAAAAGGCAAGAAGCGAAUUGUAAGGCGGAGUGAGCAACAUGGAUGCAAACAAUUCUGUCAUACGCAGCAUCUCGUGGUGCUUGGUAAAAGCUCAGCUUUCUGGUUCACUUCUGUAUCUCAGACUCAUUCAUGUCCUCACUAGGAAACCGAGAACAACUGUGAUUUUCACGUUGUUAACUUCCUGAAUCUGUUCUCCAAUUUCUACUUCUCCAGAUCUAUGUUUGCAAAGACGCCUGUCACCGGCUCGGCAGAGCAUUUUCUGUGACACUGCUUUAAUUCACCUCUGCCAAGAUCAUCUUCUGACUACAGCAAAAGCCUUGUGCUGCGACCGGUACAGAAGGACCUACAAACCUGCCCAGGGCGACACAGAAACCUGCCAUCGUGCUGGAACCGAUGGGAUGUUCUCAUAAGAUGAUGCAAGAGUUUCAACAGACAACUGAGCAACGUAGUUUGUCCAAUAUCAGUGAGCAAGAGAAAGCAAGACAACCGUCCUAUUUCUCCAAAAGAAGAAAACCAAACUUGAAAUCACAUCAAUACCCAGUGAAAAACAAAACCAGAUUUGUUCACAGAAGUUAAGGCAAGCAUGUUAUUCAACGCCGGAAUUAAGGAAACGCAUCCUGCUAUGUAUACAGCAAAGUUGAAACGCAUCCAAAAUCUUAUCAGAGGGAGACGGGCUACGAGAGACUGGCUUUGCCUCAAAACAAGAAGCGAAUCCAAAAGGCAGCCCUGCCAAUCUCACGGUCUGAGUGGGACUCGGGCAGGUGAGCCCCACGAAGCUGGCCUGCAGCUCCCUGCCCCAAAGGGCCAUGCUGUGGCUCCAUCCCAUGCCCAAGCACCUGAUGGAGCUGGUGGGGACCUCGGGUCAGAGGCACGGGUGUGUGAGGACUGAAGAAAGUGAUGGAUCUGAUAAACAUGCCUGUUAUCCUCAGCGAUUUCAAGUAUACAGACAGUCUCCAAACCCAGAAUUUUCUUAAGCACUGCUGCAGUGUUGGUUGCCACUUGAUCCCAACUAACGCAAGUGGCACCAGUGGAGGCAACACGAAGGAAGGAAGAGGAUGCAGGCUUUCCAGAUCUCCAAGGCAAAAAUGAUGGAUGUUAAGAAAGGAAGAAUGACACCUGUGGAUUCUGGUGGAGGAAAAAGAGUGAAGGCUUAACAGUUUUUGUGCUCUUAGCUUAUAUGAAUGAGG